CAGCAGCCACGGUAAUACAGAGGGUGCAGGCGUUAAUCGGGUUUACUGGGCGUAAAGGGCGCGUAGGUGGUUAUGUAAGUGAGAUGUGAAAUCCCCGGGCUCAACCUGGGAACUGCAUCUUAUACUGCGUAGCUGGAGUGCAGUAGAGGGUAGUGGAAUUUCCGGUGUAGCGGUGAAAUGCGUAGAUAUCGGAAGGAACACCAGUGGCGAAGGCGGCUACCUGGACUGACACUGACACUGAGGCGCGAAAGCGUGGGGAGCAAACAGGAUUAGAUACCCCUGUAGUCCCUGUCUCUUAUAC
rnacentral:rRNA from 1 species